rnacentral:rRNA from 1 species
AGAGUUUGAUCAUGGCUCAGAGCGAACGCUGGCGGCAGGCCUAACACAUGCAAGUCGAACGGACCCUUCGGGGUUAGUGGCGGACGGGUGAGUAACACGUGGGAACGUGCCUUUAGGUUCGGAAUAGCUCCUGGAAACGGGUGGUAAUGCCGAAUGUGCCCUUCGGGGGAAAGAUUUAUCGCCUUUAGAGCGGCCCGCGUCUGAUUAGCUAGUUGGUGGUGUAACGGACCACCAAGGCGACGAUCAGUAGCUGGUCUGAGAGGAUGAUCAGCCACAUUGGGACUGAGACACGGCCCAAACUCCUACGGGAGGCAGCAGUGGGGAAUCUUGCGCAAUGGGCGAAAGCCUGACGCAGCCAUGCCGCGUGAAUGAUGAAGGUCUUAGGAUUGUAAAAUUCUUUCACCGGGGACGAUAAUGACGGUACCCGGAGAAGAAGCCCCGGCUAACUUCGUGCCAGCAGCCGCGGUAAUACGAAGGGGGCUAGCGUUGCUCGGAAUUACUGGGCGUAAAGGGAGCGUAGGCGGACAUUUAAGUCAGGGGUGAAAUCCCGGGGCUCAACCUCGGAAUUGCCUUUGAUACUGGGUGUCUUGAGUGUGAGAGAGGUAUGUGGAACUCCGAGUGUAGAGGUGAAAUUCGUAGAUAUUCGGAAGAACACCAGUGGCGAAGGCGACAUACUGGCUCAUUACUGACGCUGAGGCUCGAAAGCGUGGGGAGCAAACAGGAUUAGAUACCCUGGUAGUCCACGCCGUAAACGAUGAUUGCUAGUUGUUGGGGAGUUUACUUCUCGGUGACGCAGCUAACGCAUUAAGCAAUCCGCCUGGGGAGUACGGUCGCAAGAUUAAAACUCAAAGGAAUUGACGG